AUGCCUGUGCAGGUCCCCGGUCAAAACGGUGUUCAAAAUGAUCAAAAUUUCGAAAAUAUGGCUCAAUUUGACCCAUUAUUGCAUGUGGAGGAAGAAGACGAACCUGGCACGAACGACGAAGGAGAUCGGGCGGCGCCAGGAACUCCUGUGCGUGUGCAAUCCUCGGAUCACGCGAGCGGAUCGUCCUCGGAUCGCGCUCCAGUCGGCUCCAUGCCUGACUCAAGGGGCGGCCACUCCCGUGCAGCCACGUCAACGACAAGCGCGACAGGCGGGUCCAGCGGCGGGACCGAAUCCCCCUCGUCACGCGCGCGCGUCCAGCCGCGGUCGGGCGAUGGAUCUGCUGCAUCGGGUCGCAUGGGUGUCACCCGUGUGUCCGCGGGGGGUGCAGCCACACCUACAGCCACAGGAUCUUCUGCGCACGUCGGGACAAAUCUGUCUGGGUCAGCACAUGCAGAUUCGCCUGGAUCUUCUGUGGCAAGUUUACCAGCGGUUCAGCCGGAGGUUUCUUCACGUGUUAUGACACGGUUACAAAAAGGUAUACGAAAUCCAAAAAUAAGAAAAGAUGGAACUAUACCAUAUGGGAUGCUAUGUAUUUCAGGAGAACCAACAACGUUGGACAGUGCACUUGAUGAUCCCAAGUGGAAGAAGGCGAUGAAUGAGGAAUAUUCUGCACUCAUGAGGAACAAAACCUGA
rnacentral:rRNA from 1 species